rnacentral:misc_RNA from 1 species
UACAACAAGAGUACGUUUGAUGGAAUCGCCAUCAGAACUAUCUUGGAUAAAACAUUCCAUAAAACGAAUAAUUACAACUACACCUGAUUACCAGAAAGCUCGAAUAAAAUUAAAAAAGACUGAAGUUUUGUUAGACAUUAAUUCAGACUCUGAUUUUAAUGAGAAACUGAAGCGAAGCAGAAAACAUAGAGCAUGUGUCGCGAAAGAAAGCGAUGAUGAUUCUGUUGACGAAAAUGCCGUUAUCGUACCAUCUUUUCCGAAAAUUUCAAGUACGAAUGAAAUUCGAAAACGGAAAUGGUCAACGACGGAAACUGUUCCACCGGAUAUGGCUCAUGAUGAUAAUGCAACGAGCAACUGUUCGCAGCAGUUACGAAAAGAUUCCGAAGUGCACUACGCUCAGACCACAUCAGCAUGCAAGAAUAUGAAAACUGCUAAUAAAUCAAGCUUAACAAAUCUGGUAAAGACUAUUCAUUUACCACUUGAAAAUUAUCCAAAAACAUCGUUGGAGCACAUGGAUCUUGAAAAAGCAGAUGAAAGUAUAAACAAUAAGAGUAUAUUCAGUAUUUAUUACGUAAAAUAAUAGAAAUUUCAAAUAAGCAAUUUAAUAGCAAAGUAAUAGCAAUUUCAAAUAAGGGAAGUUUUGAAAUGCCAGAAUGAAAUAAAUUCCAAAUUAGAUCGAAUUCUGCUACUUGGAGCAUUAAACAAUAUUUCCGAAAAUGAAGAAAACAGAAACGAGAUAACAACGAUACGUAAUGCUAAAUUUUCCGCUAACUUCGUUAGAAGAUUUAAACAAAAUGGAAGAAAAAUUAUCAGAAGAAUCCUUCUAUCAGAACUUGGCAAAGAAUUUGAUUUUAAUUGAAGGCAGGGACGUAAAGAUUUUAUGUCUUAACUUAAUUAAAAGAAUAUUUUCGAAUGAAGUCUCUGAGCAAUUUAGUUGGAUUGGCGGCAAGAAAAAAUUAAUAUUUAGCGACCUGAAACUAUGCAAGCUAUUAUAAUGUAAGUUCUAAUACACGUUUAUCACUUCACUAUACAAAUUUUGUAUACUUAUAUAUAAUAUAAAUAUAACUAUAUAAUAUAAAUAAAACUAAUUAAUAAUACAUGCAAAAUACAUAAAUACAUGGCAAUAUUAAUAAAAGUAUAACACUGUGUGACACAAAUUUUAGACCAUAAACCAGACAAGAUGAUUUUUAUAGAUUUUUUGUCGCUGAAAACAAAUCCACUAAUGAAAUUGCUCUAUCACGUCACAUUUUAGAGAAAAUUGGACCUAAAGGUGUCGAAAAUGCUACCUUUAGCUUUCAUUUUUUGAUACUUUUUAACAUAAGUAUCUUAAAAAUGUGACGUGAUAAGACAAUUUUAUUAGCGGAUUCAUUUUCAGUGAUAAAAAAUCUAUAAGAAUAAUCUUGUCUGGUUUGUGAUCUAAAAAAAAAGUUUAAAUUUGAAUACGUGUACCAUUGAAUAAAUAUUAAUUUAGACUGUAAUUACAUAUGUGGUGAGGUGCAAAUACAAGAGUUGUAUUAACAAUGAGGAUGAAUUCUCAGGGCCUAUUAAAAGAUAGUUGGCACAUGCCAAGGAGAGAAAAAAAAA